rnacentral:rRNA from 1 species
GAUGAACGCUGGCGGCGUGCUUAAUACAUGCAAGUCGAACGGAAAGGCCAGUGCUUGCCCUGGUACUCGAGUGGGGAACGGGUGAGUAACACGCGGGUGAUCUGCCCUGCACUUCGGGAUAAGCCUGGGAAACUGGGUCUAAUACCGGACAGGACAAAGGUUUGGAUGCCGUUGUGGAAAGUUUUUUGGGUUUGGGAUGAGCUUUCGGCCUAUCAGCGCGUUGGUGGGGGAAUGGCCUACUAAGGCGUCGCCGGGUAGCCGGCCAGAGGGGGUGUACGGCCCCAUUGAGACUCCGAGGCGGCCCAGACUCCGACGGGCUGCAGCAGUGGGGAAUAUUGCACCGUGGGAGCGCGCCUGAUGCAACGACGCCGCGUGGGUGAUAACGGCCUUCGGUUUGUAAACACCAUUCGCUAGAGACGAUACGCAUUUGUGACGGUACCUGGAGAAGAAGCCCCGGCUAACUACGUG